rnacentral:rRNA from 1 species
GCCCAGCGCUGAAAUCCUCUAGCCGUUGGCUAGUUGGAACUGUAGCGUAUAGGUGUGAACGCUCGGCUGCGUCGCGCGCCCAAAGUUCCCUUGAGCGGGGCUACAGUCCGUAGAAGGUGCUAGACCUGUACGGGCGGUGGGGCGGUCGACAGUUCAUACUUUGGAGUCGGGUUGCCUGAGAUCGCAGCCCAAAGAGGGUGGUAAACCUCAUCUAAGGCUAAAUACGGCCACGAGACCGAUAGCAAACAAGUACCGUGAGGGAAAGUUGCAAAGAACUUUGAAGAGAGAGUUCAAGAGGGCGUGAAACCGCUGAGAAGGAAACGGAUAGAGUUGACGAAACUGGACGGCGUUCAGCUGCUCAACACAGCGGCCCUGCGGCAGCGAGCCUCGAUGAGGGGGCGCGGCUGUGGGCGUCUGUCGUGUACGAGCGGUGUAUUUGUCGUCGGUAUGCGCCGAGAGUUCGGGCACCGCACGCUAGAGUGCGCGUAGAGGACCAUGCCCUCCGGGUGUGGAAACCUGCGCACGCAAAGGCGCGUCGGUGGUCGAGCAACAUGGUGUCUCCGCUAGGGUGCGAGGACUGUCGCUUGGCUAGCACUGGCGUUGGGCGGUCGCAUGCGACUUGCCUAUGCUAGGCGUUGGCCUGAGGCAGCGCUUUGCGCAGAGACGCAAAUCUCGGUGUAAAAGUUGACCACCUAUCCGACCCGUCUUGAAACACGGACCAAGGAGUCUAGCAUAUGCGCGAGUCAUUGGGUGGUAAACCUAAAGGCGAAAUGAAAGUGAAGGCAGUCUUGAUGCUGCUGAUAUGGGAUCCGAGUGGCUCUGGCCAUUCGGCGCACCAUAGCCCCGUCCUCGUCGCUUGCGGUAGGGCGGAGGAAGAGCGCAUACGCUGGGACCCGAAAGAUGGUGAACUAUGCCUGAGCAGGAUGAAGCCAGAGGAAACUCUGGUGGAGGUCCGAAGCGGUUCUGACGUGCAAAUCGAUCGUCUGACUUGGGUAUAGGGGC